UCCACCAUCAGCUACCUCCCGUCGCCAGCCACUCCGCCUCUGUCACCUCACGGACAGGAAUGAGGCAACACGACGCUCUUCCACUCCCCGCGAAGUGCCCACGCGACAAGAGAAUUUGCAAUCAAUCUAUCGGGAAUAGCUAAGUGUCCCCGCACCUUGUAGUCCACUACCACCACCACCUUGGCUCGGCCUGUCCUGCAUAAUUCAAGUUAAGCAUCCGAGACAACAAUAAUGAAAAAAACAAAACAAAACGGUGCUCGAUCCACGGCCACACGCCACUGCAGCGGCGGUAACACAUCACAAGAUUUGUCAGGUGUGCUGCGGCUGCCGCCCACGUAGCAACGCAUAACAGGGCCGCGGCCAGACCAGCUCGCCCCACCACAUACAGAUACAAGGUAGUCUGCGCCCGCCACGCAACACCUUCGUGCACAUAUCCUACCGCAUGUAAACGAAAAUAAUACGUGAGCGUGGAGAAGUGUUAACAUGUUAUCAGAGCAUCUACAGGAAGCCCCACCAGUGUGCUAGGCCGCUACGAGUCGGACUUGCUGCACCAGGUUUCCGCCCCACGACCCUCGACAGUGGACCGUCACGCGCAGUCUUCCUACUUUCGGCACGUAAUUAGCAUCAUACCAACCCAUAACUCUCAUUAAGUGAGAAAAAAAAAUCUAUGUUAAGUGAAGGCAACAGUUGGUGCGCAACACCUGCGUAGUGCACCUGCAGACAUUGAUUAUCCUCCGCCCCCUAACAACAUACUGCCCUUAUUGGCACCAUUGCUCCACCUGACAUCUAGUGUUCAACACUAAUGGCGUAAUUACGUCGCUCUGGUUAUCUAUUAAAGUAUCUGCACCACGACAAUCUUGUUUCCUGUAAACCCGCGACUGUAGCUUCCAUUUCUCUGCGCCAUUGCCUACAGUUCUCAUAUGUGGCCAUGUUUAUCGCCAAAAAUUGGGCGGAGGCCUACGGUGCCGUGCCGGGCGGUCGAACGGAUGACAGGAUGGCGGGAACUUGUUGAUGGGGACCUACCUGGCCGUUACGUCGACAGUCGGGACGCUCAACUCGAACUCCUACUGGAAGAUGAGCGGCUACGUCAGGGUCCACGUCAGAGCUCCGUCACAGCGUCACACCGGACCCCCGCCCGCCGCCACCCGCCCCUGUAUUGCUCCGCCACCAAGACUGCCACAUGUCACCACGCUUCAUGAUAUUUCAUUAAAUUUCGCCCUAAAGGUCACUGUUACUUGCAAAACUUUAUUGAUGCUCACAAUAAGCAUCGUUUACUCAUAUGCCCUUGUUAUUCAUAUAACACGACUGGAUAUUCUAAAACCUAAUAUAAUAACUAGAAUGGCUCAAACAUGAUUUUCAAAGUAGUUCUUGAACGGAUGUUAAAUAAAUUAUUCCCUAAUGUUCACGUGA